UAGGUAACCUGCCUUGUAGCGGGGGAUAACUAUUGGAAACGAUAGCUAAUACCGCAUAACAAUGGAUGACACAUGUCAUUUAUUUGAAAAGGGGGCAAUUGCUCCACUACAAGAUGGACCUGCGUUGUAUUAGCUAGUAGGUGAGGUAAUGGCUCACCUAGGCGACGAUACAUAGCCGACCUGAGAGGGUGAUCGGCCACACUGGGACUGAGACACGGCCCAGACUCCUACGGGAGGCAGCAUG
rnacentral:rRNA from 1 species